UGGGGGAUAUUGCACAAUGGGCGCAAGCCUGAUGCAGCGACGCCGCGUGGGGGAUGAAGGCCUUCGGGUUGUAAACUUCUUUUGCUCUGAACAAGGCGCACUUUGGGGUGUGUUGAGUGUAGGGGUUGAUUAGCGCCGGCUAACUACGUGCCAGCAGCCGCGGUAAUACGUAGGGCGCGAGCGUUGUCCGGAAUUAUUGGGCGUAAAGGGCUUGUAGGUGGCUGGUUGCGUCUGUCGUGAAAGCUCAUGGCUUAACUGUGGGUUUGCGGUGGGUACGGGCUGGCGUGAGUGCAGUAGGGGAGGCUGGAAUUCCUGGUGUAGCGGUGGAAUGCGCAGAUAUCAGGAGGAAUACCGGUGGCGAAGGCGGGUCUCUGGGCUGUUACUGACACUGAGGAGCGAAAGCAUGGGGAGCGAACAGG
rnacentral:rRNA from 1 species